rnacentral:rRNA from 1 species
CCUACGGGCGGCAGCAGUGGGGAAUAUUGCACAAUGGGCGCAAGCCUGAUGCAGCCAUGCCGCGUGUGUGAAGAAGGCCUUCGGGUUGUAAAGCACUUUCAGCGGGGAGGAAGGCGGGGGGGUUAAUAACCUCAUCGAUUGACGUUACCCGCAGAAGAAGCACCGGCUAACUCCGUGCCAGCAGCCGCGGUAAUACGGAGGGUGCAAGCGUUAAUCGGAAUUACUGGGCGUAAAGCGCACGCAGGCGGUCUGUCAAGUCGGAUGUGAAAUCCCCGGGCUCAACCUGGGAACUGCAUUCGAAACUGGCAGGCUAGAGUCUUGUAGAGGGGGGUAGAAUUCCAGGUGUAGCGGUGAAAUGCGUAGAGAUCUGGAGGAAUACCGGUGGCGAAGGCGGCCCCCUGGACAAAGACUGACGCUCAGGUGCGAAAGCGUGGGGAGCAAACAGGAUUAGAUACCCCGAUAGUC